AAGGGGUAAAAAAGACUCUUGCAGCGUCAACAGAUUGUUGGAUUGGAUGCGCGAGCUGCAAGUGAUGGCGCAACAGCUAGACCAGCGAACAGAAAUCUGCUACAAGUCUAACAUCCAGGAUGGACAAUAAAGUAUAUAGGAAGAUAUCGAAGGAUACUAGGGCUGAUGAGUUCGAAAUGGACCGAUACAAGGCAAGAAUGUUAGCAUUGCUGCAGCGUAUGGAUCGCCUGCAGGCUAUGUUGAAAAUGAUGAAAAUCAUAAAGCCCAAAACAGGACAAAACAAAGCGAUAUAAAAGAAACAGUUAUAGUUCGCGAUAUUACCAAUAGUUGUAUUACUUUUCGUUUUUCGCAGAUUACAAAAAAAAUGUAUCUUAGCCAUGUAUCUUCAAGAUGAAAAAGCCAAGACGCUCAACACUGCUCCUAAAUUGUGAGUAUAUGGCGAAAGAUAGAUGCGAGAGCGAGACAAUGAGUGAGGUGUGCGCGACAGAGAGGACAAAAAAGAGAGAUGGUCAGAGAGAACAGAGCAGCGCGCAAAUGCGAGAGAGCGUGGGUGCUGCCGGUUCCGAUUUUUAAUUCUGGCUUUUUCUUUCAAGAAAAUAAUUAAGGAGUUUGCGGAAGAUGGGAACUCUGGAGUUAUAUUAAAUGUAGUGGCCAAUUGUUCGCUUUAUUAAAAUUUAUCACCAUUUACACGCACUAA